GCUGGCGGCGUGCCUAACACAUGCAAGUCGAACGCGAAAGUCCCGCAAGGGAUCAGUAGAGUGGCAAACGGGUGAGUAACGCGUGGGUGACCUGCCUUCGAGCGGGGGAUAACGUUCCGAAAGGGACGCUAAUACCGCAUAACAUCCUGCUUUUUAAGAGGCGGAGAUCAAAGCUGGGGAUCGCAAGACCCAGCACUCGAAGAGGGGCCCGCGUCCGAUUAGCUAGUUGGUGAGGUAACGGCUCACCAAGGCAACGAUCGGUAGCCGGCCUGAGAGGGCGGACGGCCACACUGGGACUGAGACACGGCCCAGACUCCUACGGGAGGCAGCAGUGGGGAAUUGUUCGCAAUGGGCGCAAGCCUGACGACGCAACGCCGCGUGGAGGAUGAAGACUUUCGGGUCGUAAACUCCUGUCGAACGGGACGAACGGAUCGUGGGUGAACAGCUCACGGUCGUGACGGUACCGUUAAAGGAAACCCCGGCUAACUCCGUGCCAGCAGCCGCGGUAAUACGGGGGGGG
rnacentral:rRNA from 1 species